rnacentral:lncRNA from 1 species
CCUUUCCCAGGGUCACUGUGGUUCCUGAGCUCGAUUUGUUCCAUGUAAUAAGCAAAACCAUAUACUGCAAAACCAAUUAAGUUGAAAUGGUAUGUUGGUGGUUUGUGCAGGAGCUCAGAGGGCGAUCCAGGUGGGGCGCGUGAGGCAGGUACAGAGAGGAAGGCGAGGCCGAGGUCGUGAAUGAGCCACUGGCUUUGAGCUAUCGCAGGAAGAAGGGCACAAAGUUGAGACAGACCAGCCGAGGGAUUCUUAACAGAAGGGUUUGCCUCUGCUGGUGGAAGGUGAACGGCCGGGCGCUGGGGACAGGGGAGCAGGAUGUUCGGCUGAGGAAAGAAGGAGGUGACGAGAGAACAGAAGAAUUCCAAAGGGCAGGGUCACAGAAAUCCAGGCGGCAGCGGCCUGGAGCAGAAAAGCAGCGUUCGGCAGCACUGAAUGUUCAACGACAGGCGCCGAGGAGGGAACAGGAGGGCAGAAAACAGGAGACCGAAAGCAUUAAGACGACGGCGAGCAACCUUCCAGAAACAAAAUGCAGACCCGGGCAGGCAUUUCAGAAGACCCGAGACCACGUGGCCAGUGUUCCUUUCUUUCCCCUUGGUCGGCUGUUGGGCUUUCCUUGCUGGCUCUGCAGGAGCCUGAGCUUCAGCGCAUCCCCAGAGGACUGCAGAGCACCGUCCAAAACCAAUGGAAAAGUGACGUGAACCCGGCCAUGAGGUAAUGCCGUGGAAAAGCCCUGCGCUAGGGCUGCUUUACGAGAACCACCUCCUGACACAUCUGGCACUGCAAGCCCAAUAGGACGCACCGGGAGGGAUUUUUGUUUGUCGGAGGAAAGGAAAAAAAAAAAAAAAAAAAGAAUUCUGGCCUUGACCCAGACUGACUGCUGUGUCCAGCCUGGAAAGCAGCAGGUGGGGAUCCUGCUGCCUGGGUUGCAACAAAGGGCAGCACCUGUAGGUCGGACGAAGGGGCCAGCGAGGACCCAGGGCCAGCUUGGAGCAGGAGCGAAGACAGGCCAGCCUCCAGCCAGCUUUCUGUAUGUGGGGAGUCUUCAGGGGAAUAGGCCAAAUCAUGCCGUCUGCUUUCUCCAAAGCCCAAACACAGCAAAUCCCUAGUAACACAUUUAAAGAGGUCUGUCCGCUCCCCAUGAAGUCAGCCUGAACUUUGGAACCAGUCUAGGGUUCAAAUCUAGACUCACCCCAUGGGACGUCGAGGAGUGCUGGGGGGAGCUGGAGGGGCUCUAUCCCCCCCUCCGAGGGCUCCCACCAGCCACCCCAAGGACAAAAGAAAAAUAGCACCACCUCUAUCAACACUGUAAAAGGCUAGGGCCAAAUGCAUCAUUAGGAAAAUGCAAAAGAGGUGGCUUUGAACUUGGUGAGACAUCAUGAGCAGAGCUCACCCUCCCGAGCUGCAGAAACUUAUGGACAAAAAGUGACUGUUGAAAUUAAAUGGAGAACAGACUUGUGGUUACCAAGGGGGAGGAGGAGGGAGUGGGAUGAGCUGGGAGCCUGCGGUUGGUAGAGGCAAACGACUGCAUUUGGAGCGCGUGAGCCAUCAGGACCUACUGUACGGAGACCUGUGUCCAGUCUCUUGGGAUAGAACACGAUGGGGGGAUAAUAUGAGAAAAAGAAUGUAUAUAUGUGUAUGACUGGGUCACUCUGCUGUACAGCAGAAAGUGGCACAGCACUGCAAGUCAACUAUACUUUAAUAAAAAAAACAAAAAGAGUUCCCGUUGUGGCUCA